GUCUGUCUGGUUUAAAGUCUGACAUGAGGCACGUCUCCCCGGGACUGGAGCUGUCGCUGCGAGGCCCACACUCCGAACAUCAUUAGACGCACAGCUCCAGGUCUGUGCACAGACCAGGACGAGGGGAUUACGCUGUCCCGCCCCAGAUCCGAGCAAGACAACAAAUGGUUCUUAUCUCCUGACACCACCACCCCCACCCCCCCUCCACCCUGCCAUCCAAAAGAAGGGGCAGGAAAGCGGGCCGGGCCGCUCUGGCACGGAGAUGUUUUCUGCCAAUCGCGGCAGCUCUUUUCACACUUGAAGCCGGAGCUACUUCCGAGAGCCCCGGGAGAAGACGCGCUCUGGAUCAGCGGAGGGUGGGAAGAACGGACGGAGAGGGCGGCGGCUUCAACCUCUGCUUCCAAUCAAUCACCAGAAAUCACUGCCACGGCUUCUGGCCUUUGAUCUUAGCUCCUCUUUGGCGCUGCGAGGGGGAGCGCCGUGCAGCCAGAGGAGUGGGGGAGCAUGGAGAAGGGUUGAAAAGGUCAGGCUCCGAAGAUUAGGGGGGUGUAGGCCAUGUUGCUCUCCCACAUAUGAAGGCAUGUCCGUGGUUUUCCAAGAUAGAAAACAUAUUUCAAAUUCAGAAAAACCUGGACAAUUGUGAGAGAUUUUCAGCUUUAAUGACACAAGCCUGUAUCCGGUUGUAGAUCAGUUUGCUGCAUGUCAAGCUUAGAAACGUUUACCGUAUAAAAACAAAGAAUUGUACUCAAAUGGAGAACAAUAACCGUAUAUUUACUCUCUGAUUUAGCCACCAAAACUACAUCCUUUCAGCGUUCUACACAGACAGCUCUGUAGUUCAGAUUAAUGACAAACAGAUUUCUGUGACGGAUGCUUUUUCCCCCCGCCUUAAAUUAGCUGGGUUAGGCUCCAGCAACCCCCGUGACCCUGAACAGGACCGUGCAGGGAAAGGAAAGUGGAUGGAUGGCAAAAAAACAGACUUUGUUCUUUUUUUUAAAAAUUAAAUUAAGUGAACAAAGCUUUAAAAACAUGAAUAAAUACGGGUUCUUCCCUGCUUCUA